rnacentral:lncRNA from 1 species
GGAACUGCGGAGGGGGAAUUGUGGAUCUAGCGGCAAGUGCGGCCAGGGAUGCGGAGGGUGAAGCUCUCUAUUUUUAUUUUUAAUUACUUUUUAUUUUUGGCUUUCCAUUUGCUACUUCGUUCGUUAACUUUUAUGGGUAAGUGAAUUUCUACUCUGUAUAAUCAAUUUAAAUUCAUUAUGAUAUGAUUUCAGUUGCAAGACGUACUUCAAUAUGAGCUGUCCGGCGGCAACUGAGAAUAGUUGCAAGUGCGUUAAUAAUUGCACUUGUAAUCCUUCCACAUGAAGUGUUGGCGCAAAGUGAGGAUCUGAAGCAGAGAUGAAGAAGCUAAGUUAGUAUUAGUAUUGUGUGUUUAAAUAAAUCAUCAUCACUAGUAGGUGGUGACUGUAAUAUUUGUAUAAACUAAUUAAUAAUGUUUCUAAUCUCAUCUCUGCUUAAUUAUAUUAAUGAAAAACUCCUUUUCUUCUAAUUGUCCUUUCCAGUUUUAAUUUCCUUUUCAUAUGCUUUUAUCUUUCAAGUUUAAAAGAAAAUGUUCUUUUUGAAGUCUGAA